AGUAAACUGAAGACGAAGAAAGUAUAACUAAAAACCUUCAAAGAGAAAGAUACCACGGCUGAAAGUAUCUAAGUAGUUUUAAAGUUAGAAAGACACUUCUAAAGGCUUUUCUGAAACAUAGUAGGAAAAGACGUCACUCGCGUUAAGAGAUAAGGGCCUAGACUUACUAGGAACUAAGGUGGUACCGCGGAUACUUAUUCGUCCUUAAA
rnacentral:ncRNA from 1 species